AACUAAAUGCGCAGAAGAGGCUCUGCGGGUUUUAAACGGCACACUUUUGGGUGGACAAAAUGUUCGGCUUUCAUGGGGCCGAAGCCCCUCAAACAAACAGGCCCAACCUGAUCCAAACCAGUGGAAUGGUAGCGGAUAUUAUGGAUACGCUCAAGGUUACGAUAAAGGCUUUGGAUGAUACCUCUUGCUCCUUUUGUCAUGAUCAAAUUCAAAUUUUACUUUUUAGAUAAUUGAUUUAUUUUACUUUUUUUUUAUCUUGCUUAAUUUAGAAAUUCAAAUUGUGGAAAAUCUAGCUGAAGUUGAGAAGUUAGUCAAAAGCAAAUCAAAUGAAGAAAAGGCUAAAGAAGCUGCUGUUGAAAAAGAUCCUAAUACGUUGGAGUGUCCACUCAAUGCGUUUUCCCUUUUCUUGCAAAAAUUUAAAAAACUUUACAAUGAAGCAAAUCUUGAUUCCGAAAAUGUUGAAAGGGUUAAUAAAAUGGCUGUUAAAACAUGGAAGUCCAUGACAAAUGAGGUAAGUCUAAGCCUUAUUUUCAUUUUAAAGUAAUUUGUUAUUGAUUAAAUCUCUUUUAUGACAAUUGAAUCAGGAAAAAAAGACUUAUUUUGAUACAGCAGCUAAACUCAACGCAGAGGCUAAGAAAUUGCAGCAUAUUGCAUUAAAUGAAAGGUUGGCUCAGUCUAAUCAAAUAGGUAAAUGCACUCCACUUGGCACAAGUAGAACAAUCAAUGAUUUUCAAGUAAAACAAAUGGGGAAAAGAGAACAUAAGCCCAAAGUUCAUUUUGAUAUGACUAACUUGGAUAAGUCAAAAAAGGGAAAAACUCACAAGAAACAACAUAAGCAGAACAUUCAAAAUAAGGAAAAUCUUGCUAAAACCAUUCAGGUUUUAGAGUGAAUAUGGUGGUGGUGGUGGCUGUGGCAAUUUAGAUCGUGUGUAUAUUGAAACAUCAUACUAUUUGAUAUAGAAGUUACACAACUCAAAAUGAGAAUUCAUAGAAAAAUGCAACCGUAAAACUUAGAUGAUUUUAGUUUUAUCUUUGACAGAAGAAAUUACAUGUUAUUGCAAACUUGACAAAUUAGUGUUGCCUUUUGAAUGAUAUCAUGAUGGACAAAAAAGAUUUAAAUAAGAAGUUUAUCUUUAU